UUAAAUUGAAGAGUUUGAUCAUGGCUCAGAUUGAACGCUGGCGGCAGGCCUAACACAUGCAAGUCGAACGGUAACAGAAAGCAG
rnacentral:rRNA from 5 species